UUCUGUGACUGACGGAUUUGUGGGAAAACCACGAGGGAGCGGAAUAUUUUUUUCAAUGCCGACCGUCUGGGCAGUCU
rnacentral:ncRNA from 1 species